AACGUAGGACGCAAGCGUUAUCCGGAGUUACUGGGCGUAAAGCGCGGGCAGGCGGCUCGAAACGUCUGAUGUGAAAUCUCCUCGCUCAACGGGGAGAGGCCAUUGGAAACGGUCGAGCUGGAGGGCAGUAGAGGUAGGCGGAAUUCCGGGUGGAGUGGUGAAAUGCGUAGAGAUCCGGAGGAACACCAGGGGCGAAGGCGGCCUACUGGGCUGCACCUGACGCUGAGCCGCGAAAGCCAGGGGAGCGAACGGG
rnacentral:rRNA from 1 species